UUUGUGAAACACUACGGACGCAAGACUGUUGCUGAAUGAAUGAGUUCAGAAACAAUCCUAUUGCUAAGAGACGGGCAAGGUCUAUAUACAAGAAGAUUCUCCGAUCAAUUAUGAUGAAACAGGCCAAGAACACUCUGGAGUUCAGAGUCUGAAAAUGAAGAAUAUGAACAUUAUAGACAGCCACCUCCACCUCCAAAGACCCACA